UACGUAGGGUGCAAGCGUUGUCCGGAAUUAUUGGGCGUAAAGAGCGUGUAGGCGGCCAAGCAGGUCAGCUGUGAAAACUCGAGGCUCAACCUCGAGACGUCGGUUGAAACCGCUUGGCUAGAGUCCGGAAGAGGAGAGUGGAAUUCCCGGUGUAGCGGUGAAAUGCGCAGAUAUCGGGAAGAACACCCGCGGCGAAGGCGGCUCUCUGGGACGGUACUGACGCUGAGACGCGAAAGCGUGGGGAGCGAACAGG
rnacentral:rRNA from 1 species